UCUGACAGCAUUAGAAUUCUACCCUUGACAUUCUGGGCUAAGAAGCACGGGAACGAAUAACUUCUUGGCCCACGAUUCGGGCGCUAGAACCACCGUAAGGGUCCCUGGACUAGCUCUUUCAAUUUUGCAGGCUGGCUCAUUCUUCCCCGGUGAUCUUUCCCGAAAUUCAAGUCCUCUGGAAUGCAGCGUAUCGCACACUAAUACGACAAGAGAAUCCAUUUACCUUCACAAAACUCAUGCGAAUGGUGCACAUUUUGCUCCUGUGAUCUUCUCGGACUUCAUGACCUGCAGCCAGGCCAAGCGAAAAGAGCCACAAUCGGGCAUGACGGGCUGGUCCCCUGCCAGGAUUCUGCACUGAUCGGACAACUUCGAAGGUGGAGCUUCCCUCUCAGAAUGCCAGUCUAUCAGCACCUCCCUCUGUUGAGGUGAAACCAUGAACUUGGGCUAUUUUCAGCAAGUGGGUAGCUCAUUCGGUACAGUAUCGGGGUCUUUAGGUGCUGCAUUCUAAAUAAAAUGGUUAGGCAUGAUUUUCAGGAA